AUUGAACGCUGGCGGAAUGCUUUACACAUGCAAGUCGAGCGGCAGCACGGGGGCAACCCUGGUGGCGAGCGGCGAACGGGUGAGUAAUACAUCGGAACAUGCCCAGUCGUGGGGGAUAACACUUCGAAAGAAGUGCUAAUACCGCAUACGUCCUGAGGGAGAAAGCGGGGGAUCUUCGGACCUCGCGCGAUUGGAGUGGCCGAUGUCAGAUUAGCUAGUUGGGGGGGUAAAGGCCUACCACGGCAACGAUCCGUAGCUGGUCUGAGAGGAUGGACAGCAACACUGCGAAUGAGACACGGCACAGACUCCUACGGGAGGCCGCAGUGGGGAAUUUUGGACAAUGGGGGCAACACUGAUACAGGCAUGCCGCGUGAGGGAAGGAGGCCUUCGGGUUGUAAAGCUCUUUCGGCAGGAACGAAACGGCGAGCUCUAACUUAGCUUGCUAAUGACGGUACCUGAAGAAGAAGCACCGGCUAACUACGUGCCAGCAGCCGCCGUAACAC
rnacentral:rRNA from 1 species